rnacentral:tRNA from 1 species
GCCACGAUAGCGCAGGUGGUAGGGCAUCUGCCCGAUAUGCGGAGGGUCGCCGGUUCGAUUCCGGCUCGCGGCG